rnacentral:misc_RNA from 1 species
GAUGAAGAACGUAGCGAAAUGCGAUACGUAAUGUGAAUUGCAGAAUUCGGUGAAUCAUCGAAUCUUUGAACGCAUAUUGCGCUCUCUGGUAUUCCGGAGAGCAUGCUUGUUUGAGUAUCAGUAAACACCUCAACUUCCAUAUCUUUUUUGAAAUGGGAGUUGGACUUGAGUGAUCCCAACGCUUUUCCUCACCGAAAAGUGGCGGGUUACUUGAAAUGCAGGUGCAGCUGGACUUUUCUCUGAGCUAUAAGCAUAUCUAUUUAGUCUGCCUAAAAAACAGAUUAUUACCUUUGCUGCAGCUAACAUAAAGGAGGUUAGUUCUUGUGCUGACUGAUGCAGGAUUCACAAAGACAGGCUUCGGCCGACUUUGUAAAUUCGAUCUCAAAUCAAGUAAGACUACCCGCUGAACUUAAGCAUAUCAAUAAGCGGAGGA